UUUGAGCAUUAAUGCAUAUUUACAGUCGCAUUAGAUGUUGAAUUUGAAAGCUGAUCGUAAUUAAAUAAAAAUAAAUAAAUGCAAUACCUACUUUUGAUUUGCCAAUAACCAUGUCAAAUUCUAACCCACAUCCAAAUAACAAAUCACAAACAUUGAUAGCAAAAUCCAAUCGAGUUUAAAAAGAAGAAAAGGUGCUGCCCAGUUCAUAAAAUGGCAGCACACUAUCAAUGGUAAUGUUCAUAGAAUAGAAAGGAUAAUUGAUAUGUUCUCAUGACCAUUCAACUUGGAGUUGAAAUAUUUAUGUAAAAUUCUGGUACUGUUCGAGGAGAAGUGUCCAACCCCUUACAAGGGCAUAUUACUCUAUCAUAAAUUAACAUGGGAUUUAACAAAAUAUUGAAAUUUAUUAGAUGAAAUCUUCCCAAUGGCAUGAAAAGGUAUUAAUUGAAGAGGAAAUUUCAGAUUUCUCUUGUUCAACAAAACAGCUAUUCUCUAUGCACUCUGGUUAUCCAGUCAGCGAUUUACCAUUUCAGCUUUAUUGCUCUUCAAGCAAGCUCCCAAUCUGUUAACUUUUUCAUAAGAAUAUUUAUGUUUAAUGACCAGAUCUAACUCUAGAGAACAAGCUCUCAAUUGCAAUUCAUCAGUAAGUAUAUAUGCAACUAAAAAUCAUAAAUGACAAAUGUCAAAUACUUCAAAAAAUCAAGUUCAAGAAAGAGAUAAGUGCUCCUAACACAUAUCAUGACAAUUAAAAUUUAGCAAUGCAAGUGAUUACCUUUUAUUACAGUAGUAGAAAAGGCACUUGAAAACACUGUAAGAUCCAUGCUAUACAGUGUGCAUCACUUAACUUUUCUUUUCCCCUGCUUUUUUCCUUCCUAUGCCCACUUCAAUUCUUCUUUAUGCAUGCUAGUUUCUGAUCAAAGCUUUGGCAGGCCAACCUGUAUUUCUUUCCAUUUAAGAUUGGAAUCCCACUGUUUAUGGCAAUCUCCCUCAUUGAUGAAGCUUCUCCCUCAUUGAUGUGCUAAUGACCGAUGACUCCCUUCUUUAGUCUUAUCUAAUAGGACAUUUAAGAAAUCAUCAAAGUUACAGCUUCUUUUUAUCCAAAUUUGAUUUAAUCAACAUUAAAAUCCCAUCUGCUAAAAACCCAUUUAUUAUUAAUGGGAAAUGACUUUAAUUUCCUCCACCAAACUACGAGUCUACAUCCUUGGACUAAAGGGUGUAUUUUUGGUGGUGUGUGAUUCCAUUAAAUGUCCAUUAUCUUAAAAGUUGUGGUAUUUGAUUUUGUAGCCAAUAGGGAUAUGUCAAUUUGAAGACAACAAGCAAAGUGAAAAUUUGGCUACACAACACAAGCAAACAAAGCCAAAGUUUCCUUGUUCAUGACUGUGUGAAAAGCAUGAUAUAGAGAAAGAGAAAGAGAAGCUGUAGAAAGUGGGACUCCAUGUCAAUGUGACCCACUUAAAGAUACUCUCACUCUAUUAACUCCUCAUGUAUAUAAGGACCCAUGAAAAUACAAUGCAUGGCCAAAUCAAAAUGAAACAGUCUCUCUCUCUCUCUCUCUGUCCCUCUCUGGUUUAUGCACAGUUGAGGGGAAUGCUGUCUGGUUCGAGACCAUUCACUUGGAACUUUACUCAAACAGCUUCUGAAUGAUCUCGGACCAGGCUUCAUUCCCCCCAACUCAAAGAUACAAGAGAAGCUCGUUAUGGAGAUUAAUUUUCUUCUUUCUCAAGUUUUUCCAAUCUUUCAUCUUAAGCAUGCCCUGAUGAAGAUCAAGAAUACACAUGCAUAUGCUAAUUAAGCUAAUCUGGGGAGAAUUAACGUUCUGAUAACCCAAAAUUUUUGAAGAUAGCACAUGCAUUCCUCGGAAAUUGCAAUCUGAAGGACCUUGAAUCUUACACCAAAAAAGCUUAGAAAAGAAGUUAUAUAUCUCUAGCAUACUUGGUCUUUUUUCUGAAUGUUUGUAAUGGAAUUUAGCCUACUCUUGAACAGAAUUAAGAAAGUUCUGCAGCUGAUACUUAAUAUUUAAUAAUGUAGGAGAUUUGGUGAAAGAAUACGUGGAUAUGCCUCCUGGGUUUAUGAGAAGCUAGUCAAAGGGAAAAGUAUAUUUUAGUUAGAGGAUUUCGUCAUACACAGUUCUACUCUGAUGAAAAAUGGAGACAUGUAACAGACCAUAGAAAAAUCAAAUUUUUCUUGGAGUUUGGUU